GGGAGAACAGUUUAAAAGCAAAAAAAACCCACGACCUUCAUGGUGAGUAAGUUCCAGUUUCCUUAACUACGAACACGUCCCUAUGUUCAUGGAAUUGCAUAUGUGCACACAUGCCUGAUUUAUGCAUGCAGUUUUGUGUAAACAAGUGGCCACUAUGUUACAGUCCAUAAAUCAGCUUAGUGCACAGAACACCUUCAUGAUAACAGUGGUUUGAUGAUUUACUUUCAGCAGGUAGAAGAGGGCACUUUGAGACAAACUUCCCUUCAGGCUUUCUCCAGGCUGUUCUCAUCUCAAUGUAUGCUCCAGACUGCGAGGAGACAUCAACAGGACCGAUUGUACUGCAGGGAUUGGUGACAUCAUUCAUUCUCGCAGCAAGACCUUUAGAAAGAAGAAACAUCUACUCACAACCGAUCCUUACAGAGAUGGUAAAUGGUCUCCACUGUACACCACCUUUUAACCUUAUGGAUGGAUGAAGAACACCCACUAUGUACCACUGUGUAGUGAAUGGUUAUUACUGAUGACAGACAUGCUUCUUUGAAUCUCUCCGAAUGUGAAGGCUACUAAUUAUACAGCACAUACAUAUUAUGUAAUAGUAAAUAAACAAGCCUUCUAUCUUAAUCUUGACUUCAUGUCCUGUUUGUUAUGUAGCUACAGUGUGAGUUUUAGACAGUGUUCUUUUGUUGGUUGAAGGAGUGUUUGCGCUAAUGUUUUACAUUCAUGGUUCCUCGGUACAAGGUGUGGCUUCUAAAUAAUGGCUUAGAUAAGCCCAGUCUUGUUAUUGAUAGCCACUCCUGUAUUAGUCCUGCAGGUCUGUGUAUGGUCCACACGUAGUCUUGGCUUUUCGUCCGCAAGCAAAUGCAGUUUUAGGUCACUGAAGACAGAUGCCCUUUCAGGGUGAAGCCAUUCAAAAGCUCAGUCGGAUUGAGAAAGUAGGUGGCUGGGAAAGGUGCCAGUGAUUCUGAUUUGCCUGCAUGGUUCUAGGCUUAAAGUUAUAAUGCUGCCCGUUGGCUUGGCAUGCUCUUGACUGCAUGUUCCUGAGUUGUGAUUUUGAGUUUCA
rnacentral:lncRNA from 1 species